rnacentral:snRNA from 1 species
AUCGCUGAUUUGUGGCCUUGUUG